AGCACAGACUGAAUGACUCAGUGACGCUUGGAUCAGGUCAGAUCAAAUUCUCAAGCAAACAGAUGGCUGGGGAUAUUCAGCAGCAACGGUGAGGAGAGAGAGGAACAAUUCACAUUUCAAGUGACCCUUCCUCAAAACGGUCUGUUCUGAAGGAGCUUUCCCGCAGAAAUCACUGGAUUGAAAGCUUCUGGCAACAAAUGGCCACAAACCGAUCAAAGGUGAAAGUGACGGUGAACCAGACAGAGCAGUCAGUGGCUGCAUAAAGCAGGACGGCGUGGAUAUUACACACGGGGACGGAGUACCUCAGGAAAUAAAACUGUUCCUGAUAAACAAUGGGAAUGUGUCUCAGGAUCAGUUCGAGGAUAAUGACCAGGAGAUCCGCCGCUGCCAUGGCCCCCAGGUAUCUGUGUUACCUGUUUGGAUACAGGAUUGGCUGGCCAGCAGAAGACAGCAAGUGGUAGCGGAAGGAAAAUAUUCUGCCUGGAAGUCUGUGAAUCUCAGCAGUGUGGAAACAAGCCCUUCGGCCCAACAAGUACAUACCAACUUUCCAAAGAGUAACCUUCCCAUGCCCUUACAGUUACCACUGACUAGUGCACCUAAAGUAGAAAUCGCGGAACACGAUGGACUAUUUGACCAAUCCACUUGAAUUAUACAGCUUUGGGCUGUGGCAGGAAACGGGAGCACCCAUCAGAAGCUCACGCAGACAAGGGGAGAAGAUCCAAACUCCACGCAGAUAGUCACCCGAGGCUGGAAUUGAACUCAUGUCCCUGAUGCUGUGAUGGAACAGUGUGAACUACUGAGCCACUGUGCUAACCUGGAACCUCCUGCCAGCCUAAUGCAAAGGGAAUUCAGCCAAAUCCAACUCUCCCAGGAUAAAAUCCCAUUGCUAGCGGCUGUGUGAGUGCAAUAUCUUCAGAAGCAGAAUCACAUUUUGGACAAUCUCUCAAUUUUUCCUUUUGUCAUGAGUUACACUAAUAUUUGGAUGAGUUUCUUUCAACGUGAAAUUACACAGAUUUGUGUGUGUGUGUUUGUGUGUGUGUGUGUGUUUGUGUGUAUCAGUGUUUUUAGAAUGGGAAAUAUCGAGUCUUUAUUUGCAAUACGCAAACAGUUUGCCAUCCAUCUUUCCAUCAUAGUUGGAGUAACAUUGCUCUGGAUCGUAAACGUGUUGUUUUAGCAGAUUACAGAAACUAGCCUGACUUGUUCCUAAAACUGACCCUGACCCAGUCUGAGACUGAUAUCAUCGGCCAUAUCACCGACCUGGUUACAUUUAACAUUUGUUGUGAGCAGUGGAGGAGUGGGACUAGAAAAGGAGACAGUGACCCAAAAAGCCGGGGAACUAUAGACCGGUGAGCCUGAUGUCAGUGGUGGGUGAGUUGUUCGAAGGGAUUCUGUGGGAUAGCAUUUACAUACGUUUGGGAAGGCAAGGACUGAUCUCAUUAAUGUCUCAUUAAUUUGAUUGAGUUUUAUGAAGAGGUGACAAAGAAGAUUGAUGAAGGCAGUUUGGUAGACAUUGUCUAUGUGGACCUCAGCAAGGUGUUCAUAACAUUCCGAUUGGUAGGCAGAUUAGGAAGUUUCAGUCACAUGGGAUACAGAAGAAGCUCAUCACAAUUGGCUUGAGGGAAGAGGGAUAUUUUUCAGACUGGAGGCUUGUGAGCAGAAAUUAUACACUUAAUGUUAAGGGCCUGGUGAGUGUUGUGAAACAAAUGGACAUAAGGCUGCAGGUACAUUGUUCCUUGAAAGUGAAGUUGAAUGCAGACAGUGCGGUACUGAACACAUUUGACACAUUUGCCUUAAUCAGUCAGAGCAUUGUGUAUAGGAGUUGUGGUGGAGGGAAAUGGGGUUAGCGUGGAUGGAUAUUUACAAGGUGGAGUCGAACCCUUCUGUUAAUUAAAACCAAACACCCAGAAAAGCUCGCCUCACCUCGUAAUCUGUUAAAAUAUGAGCGACACAGAUCUCCCACAUUCCACUAUUUAAACAAAGAUU